rnacentral:rRNA from 1 species
UACGGAGGGGGCUAGCGUUGUUCGGAAUUACUGGGCGUAAAGCGUACGUAGGCGGCUUUGUAAGUUAGAGGUGAAAGCCCGGGGCUUAACCCCGGAAUUGCCUUUAAGGCUGCAUCGCUUGAAUCAUGGAGAGGUGAGUGGAAUUCCGAGUGUAGAGGUGAAAUUCGUAGAUAUUCGGAAGAACACCAGUGGCGAAGGCGACUCACUGGACAUGUAUUGACGCUGAGGUACGAAAGCGUGGGGAGCAAACAGG